UUGUUAUUCUUAUCUCUAGAUUGAACGCUGGCGGCAGGCCUAACACAUGCAAGUCGAGCGGUAGCACAGAGAGCUUGCUCUCGGGUGACGAGCGGCGGACGGGUGAGUAAUGUCUGGGAAACUGCCUGAUGGAGGGGGAUAACUACUGGAAACGGUAGCUAAUACCGCAUAAUGUCGCAAGACCAAAGUGGGGGACCUUCGGGCCUCAUGCCAUCAGAUGUGCCCAGAUGGGAUUAGCUAGUAGGUGGGGUAACGGCUCACCUAGGCGACGAUCCCUAGCUGGUCUGAGAGGAUGACCAGCCACACUGGAACUGAGACACGGUCCAGACUCCUACGGGAGGCAGCAGUGGGGAAUAUUGCACAAUGGGCGCAAGCCUGAUGCAGCCAUGCCGCGUGUGUGAAGAAGGCCUUCGGGUUGUAAAGCACUUUCAGCGGGGAGGAAGGCGUUAAGGUUAAUAACCUUGGCGAUUGACGUUACCCGCAGAAGAAGCACCGGCUAACUCCGUGCCAGCAGCCGCGGUAAUACGGAGGGUGCAAGCGUUAAUCGGAAUUACUGGGCGUAAAGCGCACGCAGGCGGUCUGUCAAGUCGGAUGUGAAAUCCCCGGGCUCAACCUGGGAACUGCAUUCGAAACUGGCAGGCUAGAGUCUUGUAGAGGGGGGUAGAAUUCCAGGUGUAGCGGUGAAAUGCGUAGAGAUCUGGAGGAAUACCGGUGGCGAAGGCGGCCCCCUGGACAAAGACUGACGCUCAGGUGCGAAAGCGUGGGGAGCAAACAGGAUUAGAUACCCUGGUAGUCCACGCCGUAAACGAUGUCGAUUUGGAGGUUGUGCCCUUGAGGCGUGGCUUCCGGAGCUAACGCGUUAAAUCGACCGCCUGGGGAGUACGGCCGACUUGGUUAAAACUCAAAUGAAUUGACGGGGGCCCGCACAAGCGGUGGAGCAUGUGGUUUAAUUCGAUGCAACGCGAAGAACCUUACCUGGUCUUGACAUCCACAGAACUUACCAGAGAUGCAUUGGUGCCUUCGGGAACUGUGAGACAGGUGCUGCAUGGCUGUCGUCAGCUCGUGUUGUGAAAUGUUGGGUUAAGUCCCGCAACGAGCGCAACCCUUAUCCUUUGUUGCCAGCGGUUAGGCCGGGAACUCAAAGGAGACUGCCAGUGAUAAACUGGAGGAAGGUGGGGAUGACGUCAAGUCAUCAUGGCCCUUACGACCAGGGCUACACACGUGCUACAAUGGCAUAUACAAAGAGAAGCGACCUCGCGAGAGCAAGCGGACCUCAUAAAGUAUGUCGUAGUCCGGAUUGGAGUCUGCAACUCGACUCCAUGAAGUCGGAAUCGCUAGUAAUCGUAGAUCAGAAUGCUACGGUGAAUACGUUCCCGGGCCUUGUACACACCGCCCGUCACACCAUGGGAGUGGGUUGCAAAAGAAGUAGGUAGCUUAACCUUCGGGAGGGCGCUUACCACUUUGUGAUUCAUGACUGGGGUGAAUCAAAAGGGGGAAACAAAAAAAAAAA
rnacentral:rRNA from 1 species